UACGUAGGGUGCGAGCGUUGUCCGGAAUUAUUGGGCGUAAAGAGCUCGUAGGCGGCUUGUCGCGUCGACUGUGAAAUCCCGCGGCUCAACCGCGGGUCUGCAGUCGAUACGGGCAGGCUAGAGUUCGGUAGGGGAGACUGGAAUUCCUGGUGUAGCGGUGAAAUGCGCAGAUAUCAGGAGGAACACCGAUGGCGAAGGCAGGUCUCUGGGCCGAUACUGACGCUGAGGAGCGAAAGCGUGGGGAGCGAACAGG
rnacentral:rRNA from 1 species